rnacentral:rRNA from 1 species
CCUACGGGUGGCUGCAGUAAGGAAUAUUGGUCAAUGGAGGAAACUCUGAACCAGCCAUCCCGCGUGAAGGAUGAAGGGGCUCUGCCUUGUAAACUUCUUUUGUCUGGGGCGAAAAAGCUCGAUUUAUCGAGAACUGACGGUACCAGAAGAAUAAGCACCGGCGAACUCCGUGCCAGCAGCCGCGGUAAUCCGGAGGGUGCAAGCGUUAUCCGGGAUCACUGGGUUGAAAGGGUCCGUAGGAGGCUUGGUUGAAGGGCUGUGGCUUAACCAUGGAAUUGCCAUUGAUACUGCAGAGCUUGAAUGAGGUUGAGGUUGGCGGAAUGUGACAUGUAGCGGUGAAAUGCUUAGAUAUGUCAUGGAACACCGAUUGCGAAGGCAGCUGACUGGACCUAUAUUGACGCUGAGGCACGAAAGCGUGGGGAGCGAACAGGAUUAGAUACCCCGGUAGUC